rnacentral:ncRNA from 1 species
AAAGUCUUAGUCUUGAACUUAUUAUUACUUAUUAUAAGGAUUAUACAUGCAAGCCUCUACAACCCUGUGAGAAAUAGUAUCAGGCACACUAACUAUGUAGCCCAAAACACUAAGCGCCCUGCCACACCCACACGGACCCCAGCAGUAAUUAACCUUACGCAAUAAGCGAAAGCCUGACCUAGCCACAAUAAUAUAUGCUGGUAAAUUUCGUGCCAGCUACCGCGGUUAUACGAAACAGCUAAAAGUAAUAAGUACGGUGAAAAGCAUGACUAUCUGAUAUCUCAAAAUUAAAGACGAACUUGGCCACUAUGGUUAAAUAUACUAGGCCCAAGAACACCACACUUUAAUUUUUAAAGAACCCCUAACCAUGAACCCUAGGACACAAACUAGGAUUAGAUACCCUACUAUGCCCAGGCCUUAAUAAGAUAUACAUCCACCAGAAAACUACGAGCGAAAGCCUAAAACUCAAAAGACUUGACGGUGCCCCAACCUACCUAGAGGAGCCUGUUACAUAAUCGACAAUCCACGAUAAACCUGACCACCCCUUGAAAUAUUCAGCCUAUAUACCGCCGUCGUUCAGCCUACCUUCUAAAAGACACCCAAAGCAAGCAAAAUAGUACUACUACUAAAAAGUCAGGUCAAGGUGUAGCCAAUGAGGUGGAGCUAAUGGGCUACAUUUUCUAAAAUAGAACAUAUCGAACUAGAACUUGAAACACAACUAUAAAGGUGGAUUUAGCAGUAAGCUAAACUAGAAUAUUUAGCUUAACACAGCCCUGGGGCACGUACACACCGCCCGUCACCCUCUUCAACACCAAACUACAUAUAAUUAAUACAACUACACCUACAAGAUGAGGCAAGUCGUAACAAGGUAAGCGUACUGGAAAGUGCGCUUGGUCAAC